rnacentral:rRNA from 1 species
UACAGAGGUCUCAAGCGUUGUUCGGAUUCAUUGGGCGUAAAGGGUGCGUAGGCGGCGCGGUAAGUCGGGUGUGAAAUCUCGGAGCUUAACCCCGAAACUGCAUUCGAUACUGCCGUGCUUGGGGACUGGAGAGGAGACUGGAAUUUACGGUGUAGCGGUGAAAUGCGUAGAUAUCGUAAGGAAGACCAGUGGCGAAGGCGGGUCUCUGGACAGUUCCUGACGCUGAGGCACGAAGGUCAGGGGAGCAAACGGG